GCUGCCAGCGUCCAGCUUCUCAAUCUGAUCUCUAUUUUCCCUCUAUCAUCUCCAGGCUGAAAAUAAUCUGUGUGGAUUCCUGUGAGCCUUUGUGUUUGCUUGGGGAGAUGUUGGCGCACAAGGAUCGCGUUACAACUUUCAUUUCCUGAAAUGUUUGAGGGAACAUCCAGGGUUUUAUCCACACAUCAGGCAAAACCGGAGGCUCGGGUUUCAAGCCCUGUCAUUCAGCUGUCACCAAAACAAACGGGCCUCUCAGCGAUGGAGACUGUGAGAGCUACCUGCUAUUCAUGACCCCCUGAAACAGGUGAUCACUCAUGGGAAGAAGAGGUUCAGAAUGGAAGAUCUGCAAUGUAUUACGAUUGGCAAGGAUUCAUGGUGUGCUUAAUUGACAGUGGUCCCAGAGGUUUCCUCCCCUCCAGGGUUCUUUCCUUUCUCCUUCCCUCUUUGCCCCUGGGUCAGGAAUCUGAAGUGUCAAAUCUGAAGGGAAGGUUUCACACUCCCUUAAAACUCCAGGGCAGGCCUGGCUGAGCUUUGUUUUGUCAAUGAAGAUUUGAUAGUUUUGACCAUGUUUCCAAAAGUGACAAUUCCCCCAAAUGUCCCGAACGUUUGCACAGAAGAACAGUCCAAUAAUUCAAACUAUGACCAUGUUGUAAAGCAAUAUAAAAAAAUGCACCUCUUGUGUUCCGAAACAUAACAACCGUUUUCAUAUGCAAAACGAAUGGUCCUCGUUGUGUAUCAAGUAGUUUGUCAUGUUGCCAAAAUAAAUGCCAAUUUAAAUGGUACUCUAGGCCUAUGAAUAGAGUACAGAAUUCUAUUUGUUUAUCAAAAGAACACUUUUUUUUUCUAUAACGUACCACAUAAAGCCAGCCUUGCUUGUUUGUAUUGAUAAUUAUCUGAGGUAGAGAGGCUAAACAAAGAGACUGAAUAUAAAAUGAAUUGCAUUCUUACAACACUGGCUGAAAAUAAAUAUUUUAUUUACAGGUGCUGUGGUAUUAACAUGUCUGUUUAGUAAGGAAAAGGCAUUGCAAUUAAA